rnacentral:lncRNA from 1 species
AGGACCUAUGAUCUUCGGAAAGACCAUUUUAAACAGGCUUACAAUUAUCUUCAUAAUUAGUUUAUAAAGUACAAAACAGAGACUGAUUGGCCGAAAUUGAGAGAAGUCUUCCAAAUUAUGCACCUUGGGAAUGAGCACAAUAAGUGAAUUAUUCAAGUCCGAAUCAAUACUUUCGCCUUCAAAAGCACUCUUAGCGCAAUUACAGACAAAGGCACCCACAUUUUCCCACUAACUCUGAU